rfam:Oryza rufipogon genomic scaffold, chr10
AAAAAGACAAACCCUUCCGUGUUCAACAUUUGACCGUCCGUCUUAUUUAAAAAAAAUAUAAAAAAGUAAAAAGACAAGUCACGCAUAAAGUAUUAAUCAUGUUUUAUCAUCUAAUAAUAAUGAAAAUACUAAUUAUAAAAAAACUCAUAUAAGACGGACAGUCAAACGUUGGACACAAAAAUUUAGGGUUUGUUUUUUU